GGGUCCAUGGUCUAGUGGUACGAUACUCCCUUCGGGUCAUUUCCCGCAGGAUUACAUAUUUCCUGCCUACCAGGGGUUUUCGCGCCAAUUGAAAUGGGAGUGGUCCCGGGUUCAAUCCCCGGUGGACCCC